ACUAUUGAACUCGCAGCUACUGGGAAAAGAAUGCAGGUUAGAGAACGACUCCAGAGAGUCCAGGCUCGGAGAUUCCCCAGGAGGGCUCGGGUCGCUGCAACUGCUGCUGAGGCCGCCGGCGCUGCUGGGCUCUUCGGAGCCGGCGGCGGUCAGUUCUGCUUGGCAGGUGCCGGCGAGAUCCGGGCGGGCUCCCGCGUCUCCGGCGGUACCCAACUCAUGACCCACUCCGGCCACGGCUGUCUCCGGGGAGGCGGUCACCUUGUACUGCCCUCUCAGAGGCGCCUCGGCGGCAGCAGGACUCUCCAAACCACUGUCCUUCAAGUCCAAACCCGCGGAGGAGCUGCAGGGUCCGGGAACCUCAGGAGAGCCCGCGGGAGAAGCCGAGUCCGGGAGGCUCCUCCUGGCGGCCGCCGCCCCCAGCCCAUUCCCGCCGCUGGUCUCCGCCGCCCAUACCCCAGGACCAUCACCAGCGGCGAGCCUGGUCUCCUGUAGCCCUUCCUGCGAAGAACCUGUCCCUGACGCUGGCCCGGCCGCCACCCCGUGUUCUAGCGGCUGCAGGCUCUCGGGGCUGCUCUCCAUACCGGGCCGCCCGCCCCCAGCUCUAUGGAGACCGCGGCCACUUCUCCGCAGCCAGCGCCUUGGACGCCAUGACAGCUGUAUUGGCAGCAACAGCGCCCUGGCGCGGCCUCGGUCAGGCACGUCACCGGGGAGAGUACUAAGAACGCGCGCGGGCGCGCGCUACCGCUCUGUCCGUGCGCUCUGAGCUUGCCUCCGCCUGACUGCGCGCUGAGAGGCGAAGGCGAACCACUCAGCAGCCGCCCACGUGGCCCAGCCCUUUCCGUGCGUCCGACCGAGCUCGCUCUCGGAAGGCCGGGCGUGGAGGGCGUGGCUAGGAGGGCGCGGCCGGGGGGCGCGCCCCCGCGGCUCAGCUCCAGUAGGAAAACAUCCUCUCACUAUGUGGCCGGAAGUUGAACUCCCGGGCAGCUCCCUUGUGUGCGGCUUCUUUAAAGGGAAGGCAGGAGGCGGACAGCUUGGCUGUGACCCUUUAGCGCUGGGUCGCGUGUGGCCCACCCUCGGCCUGAGGCAUUGUUGGGUGGUUGGAGGUGGUUGUAGUAUUUGGAAAAGAACUUGUCCCUGAAGGGCUCAGGGGACUUGGUUUCUCAGCUCCUAAUAUGGAAAAUUAAGGCAUUUCUUACGAGAUGCAGAUUUUAAAGCAGGCAUAUCUACUCGACGGCUUUGGAUUACUGCACUGCACAAAUUCCAGUCUCUGUCGGUUUUGGCUGAGAAGAGCUGUGCUUCUCACCAGCUACUGGUGAGACAUUCGCCCUACAGGAAAGGGUCGGUAUGAUUGUGGACAUUGACAUGCGUAGCAAAAGAAAGUGGCUAAUUUGCGCCAAUAAUAAUAAAUUAGCUUGUAUUUGAAUUAGCCAAGUCUUUGCGGUUUUGCUAACUUGGCUUCACUUUGCAUGGAGUGGGAAGCGCCUGCUUCUGAAAAGGUGACUUUUUUCCUAAUUAGAAUGGACUCCUCUUAAGGCCAUGCAGUUUUCAAAGAAGAAAGACAAGCUGGACGUUUUGUUAGUAACAAAAUGUAGCUGAAGCAGAGAGAGAAGGCAGCAUACGUCAGCAUUUUCUUCUCUGCACUUACAAGAAAGAUCAAAGACUUUAAGACUUUCACUGUUUCUUCUACCGCUAUCUACUACGAGCUUCAAAGAGGAACCAGGAGUAUGGGAGGAGCAUGAAAGUGGACAAGGAACGUGACCAUUGAAGCACAGCACCACAGGGAGGGAUUUAGGCCCCAGGACUGCAGGCAGGCCUGGAUAAUAUCCAGCCUUCCACAAGAAGCUGGUGGAGCAGUGUUCCCUGACUCCUCCAAGGAAAGGAGACUCCCUUUCACGGUCUGCUAAGUAACGGGUGCCUUCCCAGACACUGGCGUUACCGCUUGACCAAGGAGCCCUCAAGCGGCCCUUACGCGGGCGUGACCGAAGGCUCACCUCUUGUCUUCUAGGUCACUUCUCACAAUGUCCCUUCAGCACCUGACCCUAUACCCGCUGGUUAUUCCUAGGUUAUAUUAGUAAUGCAACAAAGAGUAAUAUUAAAAGCUAAUGAUUAAUCAUGUUUAUAAUAAUGAUUGAUAAUUGUCCAUGAUCAUCUCUAUAUCUAAUUUGUAUUAUGACUAUUCUUAUUCUAACUAUUUUCUUUAUUAUACUGAAACAGUUUGUGCCUUCAGUCUCUUGCCUCGGCACCUAGGUAAUCCUCCACCCACAUCCUACUCUUGGACAACAGGAAAAUUAGAAAAGAUAAUGGAGAGCUUUUUCAGAAUGUUGAAUUUAGGAGUUGUGUGUGCUUUUGAUCUCCAUGUCAAUCCAUAAACAAUAAAUCCUGUUCUUAAAUUUGA
rnacentral:lncRNA from 1 species